GUUGGGUCUGAUCACCCCAACAUUCCUGGCUGCCCAAUGUGGAGCAACAAAGACCUGGUGAAGAAAUGCUAGAGCGUGUGAAAGCGGACGAUGCAUUGUCAAAGGAUACCCAAGAUAUGAAUGAACCCUGUGGAUGCCCUCAAGAUGUGUACGACCAUGGAACGGGAGACUGGAGGGACCCAUGGAUCCCAACCAUGGACCGGGUUCCCCCAGUACAAGACAGUUGAAUCUGAAUGCAAAGAUGGAACGAAGACCAACUAGAGUCACAAUGCUUAAAGAACCAAUGCUUUCUGACUCAGCUCCUCUCUACCCUGAAUACAAGAGAGCCUAAUAGUUAGGCAGGAAUAUCAUCACCCCUAUUCAGCAUGAAGGAAUUACAUAAGAUGGACCUUCAUCCUUCUGCAACCCCUAGGAUUAAGGGUCCUCUCGUAAAAGGAAAAGGAGAGAUAUGUGUGAAGCAUUCAAACCAGAGUGACUCCAGUUUGAAUAAGGGCUAAGAAAAAUGAAGCUGGAUCACCAACCAGCAAUUAGGGCUGCACAGCCUGCAAUUGCCUUGCUCAAUUAAAAGAGGCCACCUUUUAUGUUAGUAAUAAUGAUAGCUAGUAAUAAUGAUAGUAAUAAUACCUUCUCUUUUACAAAAAAGAGAAGGGGGCAUGUUGGGAAAAAGCUGAGUGUUGGGAAAAAAAACUGAGGCAGGGCUUGCAUGUCUGACAUAAUGGCCUCUGGAAUGUGUCUAGACUUGCUGGCUCCUUGCUUCUAGCCCUCCUAGGCUCCUAGAUCGAUUGUAUUCCCAUUAUCUCAAGUACCAGAACAUGUUCCAUAUAAAUACUAAACCGUCACAGCUGUAGAUCAUGUGCCUGCCCUUUUGACCCCCACAUUCUCAUCACCUGCUUCUUUGUUGGAUUACCAAUAAAUAGCAUGGGCUCCCAGAGCUCAGGGCCUUCGCAGCCUCCACAAUUGCGAUGGCCCCCUGGUCCCACUUUAUUUCUCAAAUUAUCUUUUUCUCAAUCCUUUGGCUCCACCAGACUUCGUCGCCCCCAUGACCUGGUGUUGGGUCUGAUCACCCCAACAAUGCACCACCACGCCUGGCCAAUUUUUGUAUUUUUAGUAGUGUGGGGAAAAG
rnacentral:lncRNA from 1 species